UCGGGUUGUAAAGCACUUUUGUCCGGAAAGAAAACUUCGGCCCUAAUACGGCGGGAGGAUGACGGUACCGGAAGAAUAAGCACCGGCUAACUACGUGCCAGCAGCGCGGUAAUCGUAGGGUGCGAGCGUUAAUCGGAAUUACUGGGCGUAAAGCGUGCGCAGGCGGUUCGUUAAGACAGAUGUGAAAUCCCCGGGCUUAACCUGGGAACUGCAUUUGUGACUGGCGAGCUAGAGUAUGGCAGAGGGGGGUAGAAUUCCACGUGUAGCAGUGAAAUGCGUAGAGAUGUGGAGGAAUACCGAUGGCGAAGGCAGCCCCCUGGGCCAAUACUGACGCUCAUGCACGAAAGCGUGGGGAGCAAACAGGAUUAGAUACCCUGGUAGUCCACGCCCUAAACGAUGUCAACUAGUUGUUGGGGAUUCAUUCCCUUAGUAACGUAGCUAACGCGUGAAGUUGACCGCCUGGGGAGUACGGUCGCAAGAUUAAAACUCAAAGGAAUUGACGGGGACCCGCACAAGCGGUGGAUGAUGUGGAUUAAUUCGAUGCAACGCGAAAAACCUUACCUACCCUUGACAUGGUCGGAACCCUGCUG
rnacentral:rRNA from 1 species